UCGCGGCUUAUCACCGGCAGUCCCCUUAGAGUGCCCAACUGAAUGAUGGCAACUAAGGGCGAGGGUUGCGCUCGUUGCGGGACUUAACCCAACAUCUCACGACACGAGCUGACGACAGCCAUGCAGCAUCUGUGCACGCUCCCUUGCGGGUCAUUCCUGUUUCCAGGUCUUACCACGUGCAUGUCAAGCCUAGGUAAGGUUCUUCGCGUUGCGUCGAAUUAAACCACACGCUCCGCUGCUUGUGCGGGCCCCCGUCAAUUCCUUUGAGUUUCAAUCUUGCGAUCGUACUUCCCAGGUGGGAUACUUAAUGCUUUCGCUCAGACACACACAGUGUAUCGCGUAUGUCGAGUAUCCAUCGUUUAGGGCGUGGACUAC
rnacentral:misc_RNA from 1 species